UCAGAGGGCCGGCACAGAGCUUCCUCCAACGAAAUCCUUCCUCUGGCCGCCGGCAAAGAGCCAGCUUUUCUGUCCACCCCUGACCUUGCUCCGAUGUGCAGCUACUUCUCCACCCGUCCUCUCUGUCGUGCCGCCGGCGCGGCUGCUUUGGGAUGCAGUUACUCCACAACCCAUCCACUCUGCCGUGCCGCCGGCGCGAGCACGGAGAUGGAGGGGACGCCUCCGAGGCGUAUGCGUCGCGCAGUGGCGCUCGUGGGUGUUUCGCCGAGGAACACGAGGCAGGCAAGGCGGAGUCUGGAGAAUGAGGUUGAGCCAGAGGACUCUAUUAGGAAGCGUGCAGGAGAAAGCCCACCCGGGCCGCGCAAAAGGUCAAGGCGGUGGUUGCGACUGCCGCCGAGGAGACAUGAGAGCUUGGCUCUGGUUCCGGCUCUUACCGAUGCCACUCACGUUACAAGAACGCUCCGGAACAGUCUGGGUUGGAAGGUCUCUGGAAAAGGAUGGUGGAGUUCUUCUUCUCUUGCUUUUUUCAAGAGAUAUCACCUUCAGCCUAAUCUCUGCAUUUUAUCACUUGGGCGUUAUGAUUUUGGAUCAGCCUUCUUGAAAGAUUCUCUACCACAGAGCUAGCCGAUGGAGGCGAUAAGUAACUUCCACUUGACCGAAGAAGUCGCAAUUCGGGUUGCCUAGCUGCGAAUCUUGCUGGUUCAGUUAAAACUUGUCUUCAGAUGUUGGGGACCAAGCCGUCGACGAAGGUGCUGAGCGACCGUCGAUGUUUCGGACCACGGGUGGAACAUCAUGCAGCGUCAGGACCGUUCUCGGCUCGUUUGAUUCUGAUUUAGGCGUCAGACUGGAGUUCUCGCUCGAUUGACUUGGAGAAGGAGCGGAUCGGCUUCAUGGUGUGCCCCAGGGCGGGGUCAGGUUGAGGCGGGCCGCUGGAGACGUGGAGCUCGUCCAGCGAUGCGAGGGUGCGGCCACGUUGGAGGCGCACCUUCGUCGUGGAGCUCUGCAGUAAGGGAGCACUUGGCGUGGUCGAGCUCGGCGUCGUUGGCCUGCAGCUCCGCAGCGUGGGAGCACUUGCGUCUGCCUGCUGCUGGCGGACGCGGGUGGUGGCACCGCUGGCGACUGGGUCCGGUAUCUGAACUGGGCGGCGAGACGGCGUGCACCUGGUGGCGCUCCACAAGGCCCAGAGGGAUGGAGAACUCGUCGACGACGCUGCAGGACUCCCGCCGUGCUGCGCCUCAGCCGCCAGUGCGCUGGCAGUGCCGCCACCCACCAUCACCAGGGUUACACCGGGAUGCAGGAGUAGCAGAUGAAGAGGCGAGGUUGAGAGCAGCAAUAGGAGCAGGGUCUCAAUGGAGAGGAAGACGAAGCACGCCAGGGCAGAAAAAGGCUACAGACAUAGCUCAGAGUCUACGUGAGAGUUACUGCUCUUUUGUUACCUAUGAAAAUGCAGGAAAAAGAUAAAAUGGAAAAAAUAGCACAUCAUAUUCUCCGGAUCUCAAAGCAAUGGAUGGUGAAGAUAGCUACCAUACCCAUGCUUGUGUGUACAAUUGUAUUUCUCAUUAUCUAUUUUCGUUGGUUUGGUCCGGCGGCCGGCCGGCUAGGGAGUUUGUGUAGAAGAGUUUGAUCUCCUUGCAUCCGACCUGUGCGGGACUUUGGUGGCGGCGCUCGUUGCCGCAGGCAGGACGGAGAAGUGGGACUUUUCCGUAACAUUAUCGGUCAAGGUGUCCAUAUAGGCAUACAUCGAUCAAGGAGGCUGGCAGUCCACAGUAUCUCCCUAUGAACUGGCCUCUUGUUUUCAUAGUUUUGUGCAUGAAUCCAGUGCAAUCAGUGGCAGAUCCC